GAUGAACGCUGGCGGCGUGCCUAAUACAUGCAAGUCGAGCGAACGGACGAGAAGCUUGCUUCUCUGAUGUUAGCGGCGGACGGGUGAGUAACACGUGGAUAACCUACCUAUAAGACUGGGAUAACUUCGGGAAACCGGAGCUAAUACCGGAUAAUAUUUUGAACCGCAUGGUUCAACAGUGAAAUACGGUCUUGCUGUCACUUAUAGAUGGAUCCGCGCUGCAUUAGCUAGUUGGUAAGGUAACGGCUUACCAAGGCAACGAUGCAUAGCCGACCGGAGAGGGGGAUCGGCCACACUGGAAGUGGGACACGGGCAAGGCUCCUACGGGAGGCAGCAGUAGGGAAUCUUCCGCAAUGGGGGAAAGCCUGACGGAGCGACGCCGAGUGAGUGAUGAAGGUCUUCGGAUCGUAAAACUCGGUUAUGAGGGAAGAACAUAUGUGUAAGUAACUGUGCACAUCGUGACGGUACCGAAUCAGAAAGCCACGGCUAACUACGUG
rnacentral:rRNA from 1 species